UCCAUUAAUCUUUUCGAUUUGUUUGUUUGUCUUUUCCUGCUAUUUGCAAUAACUCUGGAAGAUGGAAAUUUAAUCAGGUUUUGGUAAAGCGUGAAUUCAACUUUCAAGGAAGAGUCUCGGAUUGGAUCUUUAACUCUGUGAGAAUGGAGGCCGAGCUUGCGCGCGGCGUUGAAGGAGUGUUUCGGUCUUCGGCCAAGGCCAGAUCAGUCAGAGCUCAAGCUUGUGGAGGAGAUAUCGAGGAUGUGGCUCCUGCCAAAAUCCAACACAAAUCUUCUGGAUCUGUCCUGCCAUAUGUUGGUGUUGCCUGCUUGGGUGCCAUUUUGUUUGGAUAUCAUCUAGGGGUGGUGAACGGUGCUCUUGAGCACCUCUCCAAGGAUCUUGGGAUUGCUGAAAACACUGUCCUACAAGGAUGGGUAGUCAGCACACUUCUUGCUGGUGCCACUGUUGGGUCAUUUACUGGGGGUUCUUUGGCUGAGAAGUUUGGCAGAACAAAAGCUUUUCAACUGGAUGCUAUUCCACUCACUGUAGGAGCUUUUCUUUGUGCAACAGCCCAUAGUGUGGAGACAAUGAUAAUUGGGCGUAUGCUUGCUGGUAUUGGAAUUGGUAUCUCAUCUGCUAUUGUGCCACUGUACAUAUCUGAGAUAUCACCAACUGAAAUUCGGGGCACACUUGGAUCAGUGAACCAACUUUUUAUUUGUAUUGGGAUUCUUGCUGCAUUGGUGGCUGGGUUACCAUUGGCAGGAAAUCCAUCAUGGUGGAGGUCAAUGUUUGGUGUUGCCAUUAUCCCCUCUGUUUUAUUAGCAUUGGGCAUGUCAUUUUCUCCAGAUAGCCCUAGGUGGCUUUUUCAGCAAGGGAAACUAUCUCAAGCUGAAAUGGCUAUUAAAACACUCUUUGGAAAAGAAAGAGUUCCAGAAGUUAUGAAUGAUUUAAAUGCAGCAAAUCAUGGUUCUUCAGAACUAGAAGCAGGAUGGCUUGAUCUUUUCGGUAGCCGCUACUGGAGAGUUGUCAGUGUUGGUGCUACACUUUUCUUGUUCCAACAGUUAGCUGGAAUAAAUGCUGUUGUAUAUUAUUCUACCUCUGUCUUUCACAGCAUUGGAAUUUCGUCUGAUGUAGCUGCUAGUGCUCUUGUUGGGGCGUCGAAUGUUUUUGGUACAGCAAUAGCAUCCUUUUUGAUGGACAAACAAGGAAGGAAAAGUCUUUUAAUUACAAGCUUUACUGGAAUGCUAAUGAGUUUUCUAGACUUUGUCCAUCCCAAGUGCAUGGUAAUCUGUGGAAAUAUUUCCCUCCUUCAUCCUGUGUAUUAUGGAGUCCUUAGCCCAAAUAUGAAGAGCUGGCAACCUCCAUUUUUAAUUUGAAGGAGUUAGCGCAGGUGCAGUAAUUGCUAACGAAGUAGGAUAAUUUCCUUUUCAAAUUGAAGUAGUGGUUUCCUGAUCCCAGUAAUAUUUUAGAGGCUUCAUUCUUUCCAUAACAAAUUCUGGGGUAAAGCAGGCCUAAGAAAGUAUCAAUCUGGAGUCUCCAGUCAGAGACACGUAGUUCCAGCAAGUUCAGUUAUGGUAACAUAUCUAUGUAUGCUUUUAUAUGACUGAGAAAACAUAUGUGAACUAUCUUUUAUAUAUUUUCCUCGGCCAAAGUUGCAGGGAUUGCCUUUUGUUUUCCUUCCUGCAAAGUGUUUCAUCUAUUUCAUGGUUAGAUAUGUUUCUUGAUCAGUUAUAUAUGAAUGGUAGAAAAAACAAAAAGAAAAGCUGUAAAUUUGUUUAGUCUACUAAAAAAUAUGUUUUCAGGAGUGGGUAGGAUUAUUGUCAAUGAUUGGCCAGCUAGAAUCCAUGUAGCCAACCCCACCUAGUAGGAUUAAGGCUUGGUAUGUUGUUGUCACCAUUGGAGUGGGUAUAUAAUUAAAGAAAGAUUUGGUCUCCCAUACUGAGGGUAAAGAAAACUUUAUAGUGUCUAGUUUUUUGUUGUUACUGCAUGGAAUUGUUGUUAUUUGGUAGACUAACAUCUCUGGAACUAUUUUCCAUCAAGCAGAAUAUAUUUCUGUAUUCCUUUUGGCCGUGCUUCCAUUUUUCAUACCAAAUUUGUUACUAAAAAAUUGAUUUCAAUUCUCUUGGUUGUCUCUCUGUUCAAUCAUCCUUGAAUUAAAAUUUGAAAACAAACAGGCGGCUUCAAUGUUGUUGCUUUCCCUGUCCCUCUCUUGGGAGGUUCUGGCACCAUACUCUGGUACCCUUGCGGUUCUUGGGACUGUUCUUUAUGUAACGUCCUUUUCACUUGGUGCUGGUCCGGUGCCUGCUCUUCUACUUCCGGAGAU